UCAAUCGUCCGCGCGCCGAUUCUCAUCUUCCAAGAUCGACGGGGGUUUCGUUCUCCGCCUCCUUCGAAGCGAGCGAGUGCGGAAGAAGGGAAGUAUUUGAUUGGGAUUCCUGUCGGCAAUGGUGACGCCGCCCUUGGUUCUCGCUGCCUUGGCCGCUGUUCCACGACCGAGGGAGAGCUCUGUUUUCCUGCCUCUCUCUCCGUUGAUUCCUCGGAGAUUUGGUUUCGGUUAGAGCCUUCCGCGUCGAUUCCCCCAGCCUCUGCCUCUAUCGUUCUCGGGGUUGAUGGCGAUGACUGUUACCUCCAUCUGGUGAAUCAGCCUCUGCCUCUAUUGUUCUGGUAUAUGGUCCAUGAUUUAGGGUUUAUAGGGUUUUUUCUAUCACGUAUUUUCUUGAUCCUGAUUCCUUGAUGUUUUAGUUUGAUAUCUUGAAUGCUUCAUUUGUUUUUUUGGAAGGCUUUAUUUGAGAAUUUCCGGUUUUGGACUGCUUGAACAGUUCUUUUCAUCAGUCUCAUAUGGUAAGUGAGUUUGCUUCACGGGUUACUCUUUGGAUGCCUGUUAUAGCUGCCUGUUAAUAAGUUGCGUCCAAGAAGAGCUCACAUAGACGUUUGAUCCUCGUACACGGGUUUGCAGGGCUAUCUUGCAAUGAUCCGAAAUUAAGAAAAGGUGAAAUAGACAGAUUAGUACUUUUAUCUGCUAGUAUGUUUUGCAGGCUAUCUAUAAUCUAUGCAAGAGAUGCAAUCACCGUGAGCCAAAACUGGCUUAGGCAUAAUUGUUGAUAAGUUGCAAGUGAGAAGUGGUUCACAACUUGUGGAGAUCACUGCUGUUUGAAUUAGUGCCAACAAAUUUUGAUAUCUGUGAGGGUGAGCCUUGGCGCAACAGGAAGGUUGCUCCAUUGUGAUCUAGAGAUUGAGUUAUCACUUGAUAUUCAGAUAUCAAAUGAUAAAUAACUUUCUUUGGCGGACAUCAACUCAUGCAGGAG